rnacentral:rRNA from 1 species
UACAGAGGGGGCAAGCGUUGUUCGGAAUUACUGGGCGUAAAGGGCGCGUAGGCGGCCUUCUAAGUCGAACGUGAAAUCCCCGGGCUCAACCCGGGAACUGCGUCCGAUACUGGAAGGCUUGAAUUCGGGAGAGGGAUGCAGAAUUCCAGGUGUAGCGGUGAAAUGCGUAGAUAUCUGGAGGAAUACCGGUGGCGAAGGCGGCAUCCUGGACCGACAUUGACGCUGAGGAGCGAAAGCCAGGGGAGCAAACGGG